GUUAACGGUGUUCGCUCAUAAAGCCGAAGUUUGUGCGCAAGUGAUACUAGACGCAGCAGCAGCAUCAACAGAAAAAAAUUGAGAACAUCAGUAUCUCUCCUCCAUAAGAUCUGGGCUCAGUGACACACAGACGUAUGGAUCCUCUGAUGCUCCUGAUUCUUCUCUUUGCUGGGCGCACAGGUGCUGACAUUGUGUCCUCAGUGAGAUUGGUGUCUGUACAGAGAGGAGGAUCUGUCACCAUCUCAUGUUCCUAUCAAAGCAGAUAUGAAUCUCAUGUGAAAUACUGGUGCAGAGGAAGUGACUGGAAUUCAUGUCGUACAAUAGUUCGCACUGACUUCCCACAGAAGAAGGAUGAAGUGUCAAUCAGUGAUGAUUCUGACCAGCAAGUCUUCACUGUGAUUAUGAACAACCUGAAAACUGGGGGCUCAGAUACCUACUGGUGUGGUGUGGAAAUAUCAGGUCCAGAUGUUGGACAAAAAGUUUCCCUGUCAAUCACUGAUGGUAAGAUGUCUAUACUGCAGACUGUAGCCAAUGGGAUGCACAGUAUGUAAAAUGUCAUUCUGAUUCUUCUGAUUCUUUAUUAUUAUUUGUCACAUGCAUAGUUAUACAGGUACAACAUGCAGUGAAAUGUAUCCUGAUCAACCCGACCAUACAUAUACACAUACAUCACAUUAUAGGGGGUAGACAGGG